CACGUAGGGGCCAAGCGUUGUCCGGAUUUAUUGGGCGUAAAGAGCUCGUAGGCGGCUCGGUAAGUCGGGUGUGAAACCUCCAGGCUCAACCUGGAGACGCCACCUGAUACUGCUGUGGCUAGAGUCCGGUAGGGGAGCGUGGAAUUCCCGGUGUAGCGGUGAAAUGCGCAGAUAUCGGGAGGAACACCAGUGGCGAAGGCGGCGCUCUGGGCCGGAACUGACGCUGAGGAGCGAAAGCGUGGGUAGCAAACAGG
rnacentral:rRNA from 1 species